GGGGAUGAUCGGCUUUGACAGGAAUGGUUCUGUCUUAUCAUGGCCUUCACGGGGUUGCACUGUCCCCCGUUACAUCCGUUAGUGCAAAUUUAAUUGCUACAGCUAAAACUGAAGCUGGUCUUAACGAUCAAUACCUUGCAUUCAAGAAACUUGCACCUGCACGUUCUCUUGCAAUGGCUGCGUAGUUUUCGUUACUGCCACUGAGACUGCCUAAUCGCGGUCCCGUCGUUGUGAGUGAGGUCUCAUAACUUGUAAACGGCGUAACUUAAUGAGGCUCGAAAGUAGUGUGGAGGUUCGGCAUUCUACUUUCUAAAUCUCCUCGUCCAUCCGUGAGAGCUUUUUGUUCUUUCUUUAUUCUCGUGGACAUUAGAAAGAAAUACGUAGGUAGAAGUGAUAAUACAGCAUUUUUGGACGCGGGUUCGAUUCCCGCCAUCUCCACCA
rnacentral:tmRNA from 1 species